GACAAACCUCUCUCUGUGACCUCACUACCCAGCCACUGUGACCUAUUUUUCCCCAAGCUUGCCUGGGAUUUUCUCUCAGCUCCUUGGUUCUAGCUCAGUUCUGGCCACCCAGGGGCUCAUGGGAUAUGCAUUGGACAGGAGAAGUAUAGUGUGAGCUACUGGUAGAUGAGGCCUUUCCUUUCAGGGUGUUUUUUUCACUUGAUGCCCUUUUAGCAAGAGAAGCACUGGUGAAUUCUUCAUAUCUUAGCAGUUAAGAGCCACCAGGGGAUUUGUAGAUCCAAAAGUAGACUUCUUUCCUGGGGACAGUAACAUGGUUGCAUGCAUGAAGGGCAACAUAUUAAGGUGGAAAAAAGGAAUAGAUUUACUCUGAAAGCUCAGUAUAUCUC
rnacentral:lncRNA from 1 species